rnacentral:lncRNA from 1 species
UGAUUUCUAGAAGCCACUAUGGUUAGCAACAUCAGAGAAGACCCACUGACAUGCCACUUCUCUUCCAGGGUUAGAGAUGAGAACUAAGGGAUGGAGCCUGGCGUCAUGGCAUGGAGCUGGCUUGGGAAAUGGAAACAUGAUACCAGCUGGAAAUGUAAAUGUUGUAGUAGAAACAGCUUCGGAGAAACAGCAGUGACAAGAUAUGCAGCCCUUACCCUCUCACAGAACUUAUAACCUGGAUGAGCUGUGUCAGCGGUAAUACUAGGCAUAACUGCUGGUAUACUGGUAGGUGAAAAAGUAAGUGUGGAUUGAUUUUCUUUUGGCAAGUUUUAUCCAGGGGGGGAGGAGGGGAAG